CUUCUGCAAGGACCCAAGUGUCCUGGCAGCUCACUGGGACUGUCCUGGCAGCUCACAUGUCACAGGAGCUCUCAUAAAAGAAUGGCUGGUGACAGCUCCCUCUUGGCCAUGACAUCUCUUGCAGUCUCCUUGAACUCUCAUUUUGAAUAUUCAGGCUGUUCACCUGCCCCUCGCUCCAUUAUUGAUGUGGUACCAACAGGGAUGGGGGAGAAGUCAUAAAAACUUUUACUACAGGUGUGCAUAGUGCAGAAAGUGGAAUAGUGAAUGUUGUCCUCAGUUUAAUCAGCCGCCUCAUGCUGCAAGUGUGAGCAAACAACUCAGGAAGAAUUACAGAGAACUACACUCUUGGGAGGAAAGAACCAAAGACAAAACUCCCAUCAACAGCAGCAGUAGGGCUGGGAGGCAGGGGAGUUCAAACUCUGCUGCUCACAGAGAGCAAGAACUGCUUUUCCCACUGCAGUGUUUCAGAUCUCCAGCUCCCUGGACUGAGGCUGCUGUGAUGGUGAGUUCAUAAAGACACUGAGUGUUCAGAAGUUGUGUCACAUUAGCCAGAAGUGCUCCAUGAUGAGGCCGAGGGAGAAAUGCCCCCAUGGCUUUGCAAUCAGGGAACAGGCUGGGGAUAAGUGCUGGUAAAUGGCUGGAAUGGUGACUUUCCCCUGCCCCACAGAACACAGCUUUGUCAAAGUGGAGCAGAUAAACAGCUUUCCAGUCCCAGCUCAAACACCAAGGAUUUCCUGCCACCAUAAAGCUGUAAUUGCUGAAUUAAUAACAGCAGGUUUUGGAGAGAGACUGCACAGACUCUCUGACCCAGCCAAAAUAAUUUUGCCAUGUGAAGGAGAACUCCUGAAAUGGAAGCAGAUUUGGAGAAUAUGUCUGACAAAGACAAUGGGGUUCAGCUUGGGAAUGUAGGCAAGCCCAGGAGAAGGCAAUCACCCUGCAGUAUAAAAAUGAAAGGCACUGAUGAACUAUGGCCUCACUGUGUGAAGAUUUUACAAUAUCAUGAUUACUAUCAGAUCUCAAUAACUUCCAGUGAUGUGUAAG
rnacentral:lncRNA from 1 species